UUUAAAUCAUGCAGCUGUUGA
rnacentral:miRNA from 2 species